ACCCUCUAGUUCCCUUUCCCAUUGGGUCUGAACACUGGUCUUGGUUGUAUAAGGAGACACAGUGAUACUGAAGCUGGUCUCAUGGCCUUGCAGUCAGCCAUAAGGCAAGUGUACUAGUUUCACACAAGG